GCGCAGGUGAGAGCUGUGGCGGAGGAAUAUGCAGGUAGACGGCGAGCAGAGGAACGCACAACAGACCCACGUGAAGCCACCACUCCCUGCUGACACGACGGGCCGACCCGCACUCGCUUUCAUUCUGCUGCGGACGGGGAGAUGUUCUGUCCGUCGGCGGGACAGGAGGUGCGCACGCUGCAGUUUCUCCUUCGCUCCACUAGGCGGCGCAGGCAGCUUUCACGUUCACAACGACACCCUUGCAGUCCGACAGUCGCGACAGUGGCAGCGACACGUUUAUAUCGUUUUGUCUUCAUAAAAGUACACUUUCUGCAGAUGACGGCUAAGCGACAGACUCGCAAUGUCACCUAAAGCACACGUUUCAUCCCGACGGCAAAAACAACCGACACGCGCCGUGAAGAAGAGAAGGAAUCGACUCACCUGAAAUGUGGAGUGUUUCUCAGCGACAGAAGUGUGUGGACGGGGGCGAGGACCGGUAAGGACGGGCAACAGCUAAUGCGCAGAAAGUAUAACCCCUGCUGGACAUCAUCCCGGAGGUCGGGGGAUCCUCCCGAUCCCCCGCAGACCUUCUCACUCACUUCUCUGAGGUCUGACUGGCCUCGAACCAGCAACCUCUGAUACCGUGAGGCAGCUCUCUUACGACUGAGCCACAGAUGACAUGUGAGGUGGGAUUCGAACCCACGCUUCUGCAGUAACCUUGUCUGCAACUAAUGUGUGUUUAGCCACUAGCGCCACAGUGGCUUUCACAUUCAGAGUUAUUCUUUGGUGUGCUUUGAGACUGAUUUAACGACAGUGAUUUAAGAUAAGAUAAGAUAAGAAAUAGUGGGAUUUGAACUCGGGCCUCCAAGAUUAAAGUUUAACGCUUAAUCAACUGAGCCACCAAGUCUUUGGAGCUUCAAGGUGUUCUGAAGGUGUAUUUCAAACCAUUUACAAUAUCCCACCACAACAUCCUCUUUUGCGUCAAGUGUUGUACAAGUAAUCACAGUGAUGAUAAUUAAAUGAGGUUUCAGGUGUUUUCAAUCAAGGUUGGGAACCUAAACUCUGGGAAGCAGCUCACCUGGAACUUGGAGGAAAAAGAUAAUUCUCAUAUGGCUUUAAUGCACAUUAUAUUCACAGGAGGGAGCUUAGUGACACACGGAAAGCAUCUCAAAAACAACUAUUGUCUUAAGGAGUUGUUGACCCUAUAAAUAAAGCUUUGCUGUCUUAUA